rnacentral:rRNA from 1 species
UGUUUCGGCUAGGGGGUCAUCCCGACUUACCAACCCGAUGCAAACUGCGAAUACCGAAGAAUGUUAUCACGGGAGACACACGGCGGGUGCUAACGUCCGUCGUGAAGAGGGAAACAACCCAGACCGCCAGCUAAGGUCCCAAAGUCAUGGUUAAGUGGGAAACGAUGUGGGAAGGCACAGACAGCCAGGAUGUUGGCUUAGAAGCAGCCAUCAUUUAAAGAAAGCGUAAUAGCUCACUGGUCGAGUCGGCCUGCGCGGAAGAUGUAACGGGGCUAAACCAUGCACCGAAGCUGCGGCAGCGACACUAUGUGUUGUUGGGUAGGGGAGCGUUCUGUAAGCCGUUGAAGGUGUAUCGUGAGGUAUGCUGGAGGUAUCAGAAGUGCGAAUGCUGACAUAAGUAACGAUAAUGCGGGUGAAAAACCCGCACGCCGGAAGACCAAGGGUUCCUGUCCAACGUUAAUCGGGGCAGGGUGAGUCGACCCCUAAGGCGAGGCCGAAAGGCGUAGUCGAUGGGAAACAGGUUAAUAUUCCUGUACUUGGUGUUACUGCGAAGGGGGGACGGAGAAGGCUAUGUUAGCCGGGCGACGGUUGUCCCGGUUUAAGCAUGUAGGCGGAGGUUCCAGGUAAAUCCGGUACCUUUUUAACGCUGAGGUGUGAUGACGAGGCACUACGGUGCUGAAGUAACAAAUGCCCUGCUUCCAGGAAAAGCCUCUAAGCAUCAGGUAACACGAAAUCGUACCCCAAACCGACACAGGUGGUCAGGUAGAGAAUACCAAGGCGCUUGAGAGAACUCGGGUGAAGGAACUAGGCAAAAUGGUGCCGUAACUUCGGGAGAAGGCACGCUGAUAUGUAGGUGAAGUGAUUUACUCAUGGAGCUGAAAUCAGUCGAAGAUACCAGCUGGCUGCAACUGUUUAUUAAAAACACAGCACUGUGCAAACACGAAAGUGGACGUAUACGGUGUGACGCCUGCCCGGUGCCGGAAGGUUAAUUGAUGGGGUUAUCCGUAAGGAGAAGCUCUUGAUCGAAGCCCCGGUAAACGGCGGCCGUAACUAUAACGGUCCUAAGGUAGCGAAAUUCCUUGUCGGGUAAGUUCCGACCUGCACGAAUGGCGUAAUGAUGGCCAGGCUGUCUCCACCCGAGACUCAGUGAAAUUGAACUCGCUGUGAAGAUGCAGUGUACCCGCGGCAAGACGGAAAGACCCCGUGAACCUUUACUAUAGCUUGACACUGAACACUGGUCCUUGAUGUGUAGGAUAGGUGGGAGGCUUUGAAGUGUGGACGCCAGUCUGCAUGGAGCCAUCCUUGAAAUACCACCCUUUAAUGGCU